rnacentral:lncRNA from 1 species
AAGAGAUGAGAAUAAUAAUAUUAUAUUAUUGUUAUAAUGAUUUUAUAGUACAAUAAAUAUGUACUGUGUAUGUGCGGACAAUAAUAUUAAGCAAUGACGGUCAAUUAGGUCAUAGCACAGUACUGUGCUGUGAAACCCUAAUUAUUAAACUCAGUUAUGAGAUAUGACUGAGUAGUGACUGUGUAUAUGAAGGUUACUGUGUAUAAGAUGUCGGUAAUUAGAAGAAAACCCUAAUUACUGUUGUAUGUCGAUAAUUAGGACAAACCCUAAUUAUUACAACCCUAAUCGGUUGAAGUUAGAGAUCGUAAUGACUGUGUUAGAACAUACACAGAUAAUUAGAGAACCCUAAUGGUCAAUUAGAAACCCUAAUUGAUGGCGUUAAGAAACCCUAAUUAGAAAAUCCUAAUUUUCUAUAGAAAACCCUAAUUUAAAAUUAUCGGGUUUAAUUACGAUGUUAAUGUAUAAAUGUUUUAAUUUACCAAAGGAUGAAAAGUAAUUGGUAAAUAAUAAGAAUUACCAUCUAGUGAUUAAAUAUUACAUUUAAUUGCCAUGUACAAGAAUGCCCAUGAAAUUAUAUGGGAAAUUACCAAAAUACCCUUUUUGUCCAUUUUAGUGUAUUAUUAGUAGCAUUGUUGAUGGAAUCUUCAAUUAUGCUAGCUAAUCAAUGGCUUCUAGAAUUCCCUCAUGCUACUAUACCAUUACACCUCAAUUAUACCAACCCUAUUGAGCAUCCAAGGCACUUGACAUGGUCUAUAUAUAGAGAUUGAGGGAGAAAUAAUGCAAAUGCACACUAAUAUUUUCUAAACUCUCUAGCCACACUCUCUCAAGCUCUUACCAACGAAAUUCUCUUACCCAUAAGCUCCUAAUCAAAGCCCAACCAUCACAAACAACAAAUCAGAAGCAUCAAAGCCAAAAAAAUCAGAAAUCGAAGCUAGAAAAGGUAUGAAAUUCCCUAAUUUUGAAAUCCUUCGAUUCGAUGUUAAUUGAUGCAAUUGAUUGUUUAAAGUAGUGUAAUAGGGAGUCUAUUAAUGUUCUGGGUUGUAAAAACACAGACCCAUAACAUCAAAGUUCACGAAUUUGAAGAUUUAAGCAAGUUGGAAAAACCGAAUUCUGUUAUUUUUCACCAAAUGUCAGAGGCUAUAACUCUUUGUUCGAUCAUGAGUUUUGUUGUUUAAAGGUUGUUA